ensembl:lncRNA
AUGUUUCAUGAAUGGAAAUCUAAUCUAAACUGAUUUAAUGAAACAAAACUGUCAAGGUGGUAUGUUUAUCCAACCAAUUCUUAAGCGAUAUUAACCCAACACUCAACUGUAUCCGUGUUAUGUUUUGAAACUGUCCCUUGCCUUUCAGGGAUUUCUAACUCCGAUCGCACAUGGGAGUUGAGGCCGCAGGGCGACUCCGCCGACAGCAGCAGAACGGGCUCCCCUCUCCCGUCCUCUUCAUCAACCUCCUCCUCUUCGACCAUCUCCUCCUCUUCCACCCAGCUCCUGCCACCACCCCAGGACGACGGCUGCGACUCGGGCCCGAGCUCUUUGCCCGAACCCCAGCGUGCGGGCAAAGUGUUCUCUCAGGGUCACUCCGUCCUCUCCCAGAUCAUCAACUCCUCCCUGUCCAAUGGGAAGCUGCCGAACCGACGUCAUGGCGACGCUUCCUUCUCUAAACCCCACGGCGAUGAAGGCGACGAGGAUGUCUCCCUUACCCAUGAGCCAUUGCUGGGGCCCAGGUGUCUGAUUGGUGGGCAAGGUGGCAUCCCCCCACACCCAGAGGUGUGGGGGGAUGCGUUGCAGAGGAAGGGGAUGACCACGUUCAAGGUGGUGCCCGCAAAGAAGCACCGCCUCUACGAGGUGGAUCAGGGCCUGGUUGUCCCGGACGACCGGAUAUCGACCACCAGGUGGGACCCGGAGGACGGGGAGAGCCGGGCCGACGGUGACCCCCCAGGGAGCCCGGAGCCCCGGACCUCUUCUCCGGCCGCCGGGGGUCCCGUGGCCGACGGGGGGGCCCAGACCUCGCUGAGCGCUGACUCCGACGGGGUCCAGGGAGAGGUAGACGUCCCUCAGGCAGAGGUGGCCGGUCCCGCACCGCAAGACUCCGGAUCUCAAGAAGGGGGCGCGGAGGUGGACCGGCCCGGUCCAGAACCUGAGACACGGGCUGCCCAGGUGGAGGAGGACCAGGUGGUCCGCGACACGGAGGCCAAGGUGUCGGUCCACGAGGCGGUGGUGGUGAAAGACAAGGGGGUCCAAAAGGAGGAGAUCCAGGGGGAAGGGGACUACGACGAAGUCCCCGAUGAAGACGACGAGCAUUUCCCUCCGCCUCCUCCGCCCGUUGCCUACGACGACCAGGACGGCGUGCCAGACGAACGAUCCACCCUGCUCCGGUCGUCUUCGGCCCUUCCUCCCCCUUCCCCACCCUCCUCUUCCACCCAGACCCCUGGCGGUCCGGGGACCCCAACGAAGGACGCCUCGUCCCCCCUGAAGAGGGUGAGCACGGCCCCGUCCCGCUUCGCCCAGGCGGUGGCCCUGGCGGUGCAGAGGACGCGCUCGGCCCAGGUCCAGGGGCGUGGCUACGGGAGCCUGUUCAGGAGCCGCUCCGGCGCCAACCCAGUGCCCUCCUGGCUCCCCCAGUCUUCGGUCAACAGCGGCUCCUGCCCGGGGUGACCUGAAGUGGGCCACAGGUGGCCAUGGAGACAGAGCCUCACCCGGUUAGCCUCGAGUGACUUCAUUCAAAAUGUCUGUCAUCUUUGAAAUGUUUUUCCUUUUAUUAACAUUUUUAGUUUUGGCACGCUAUGGAUUGUCCCGUCCCGUGUUUGUGACUCUUGUUCACACGGGGAACGUAAACAAUACUUUUUGUUAUCGACAUGACCAAAGGUAUGGCACGCUAGAGGCUGAGCGCAUAGCUUCCUGUUAGAGCCUCACUUCCUGUUUUCUCCUUUUACUUCCUGUUUCAGUUUCUCUUGAGAGAAUGUGUGCGUGACAUGAAAGUAUCUAUUUUGUUUUGUUUCGGGGCUUUUUUUGUGUUUCAAGAUAAUCACAAUGUGGACCUGAGGUCAAAUGUUGCUUUCGACAAUGUAUUUGCGUUUUGUUAUUUAUGCUGUAAAAUAGAGUGGAAGUGAACCCAUGUUUAACCUACAAGGCUAUAAAAUGCAAGUGUGUUUUCAGCCACUCGAUGGCAGUGUUGGCUGCUGAUGAACAUGGGGCUCAUGUGUUGUAUGAAAGCUUCCAGAGACACUGGUUAGGGCUUAAUAUAUAUAACGGCGUCUUUCAGUGUUGGCCUAAGUAAAGCAUUAUAUGCAAUGUGUAAAAAAUGCCCACUAAUUUCCUUUCAAAGCACAUUUCCAUGUCCAUGCAAUAUUGCAGAGAGAUUUCACACAUACAUAUUCAUAUAUAAAUGUAAACUAAUAAACCUCAUGGUGGACGUGAAUAAAUGUGAUGAUGGCAAAAAAAUAAAUAAACCAAUAUAACAACAAUGAGCCAAGUUUGAAGUUUAGUCCAUGAAUUUCAACACUCGGAAUAAAUUCCACUAUUCCU